GUGACACAACUAACGCUUAAAGUUAUCCGCCUGGGGAGUACGGCCGUAAGAUUAAAACUCAAAGGAUUUGACGGUACCUCAAAGCAAUGGACUGCAUCUCUCCCGAAUGUAGUCCGGAUCAAUGGAGUGUACAGCGACCCCAAGCAGUUAAAUGAAUCUGAAGUUAAUGGCUGUGGCUUAACCAUAGUAUGCUUUGGAAACUGUUUAACUUGAGUGCAGAAGGGGAGAGUGGAAUUCCAUGUGUAGCGGUGAAAUGCGUAGAUAUAUGGAGGAACACCGGUGGCGAAAGCGGCUCUCUGGUCUGUAACUGACGCUGAGGCUCGAAAGCGUGGGGAGCAAACAGGAUUAGAUACCCUGGUAGUCCACGCCGUAAACGAUGAGUGCUAGGUGUUAGGCCCUUUCCGGGGCUUAGUGCCGCAGCUAACGCAUUAAGCACUCCGCCUGGGGAGUACGACCGCAAGGUUGAAACUCAAA
rnacentral:rRNA from 1 species